rnacentral:lncRNA from 10 species
GGAAUAAAAUACAGAAUUUAGUAAAGCUGAAAACUACAUUGUUGAAUUAGAAGACAAAUUUGAAGAUAUUAUUUAGAACUGCUUUCCUUUGUCCUGUCAUUUCUCUACAAAGUUAUUGUUCUUGGUUGAAGAUGCUAUAUGAGCAGGAGUUUUAAGCUACUGCUUUGAGCUAUUCUUUGUUGAGGCUUCUCCUGCAUGAUAUGCACUGCACGUAUUAAUAAUAAUAAUAAUUAAUUCUCUUGUGAAUCUGUCUUUUACCAUGAGGAUCUGUCCCAACUAAGCACUAAGGAUAGGUACAAGUAAAUUUCUGCCUCCCCUACAGUGGGCAGUGGCAUGGGGAGCCAGAGACACUAUGUGUUCCUUCUGCUUGGGCGUGGGUGUCAGAUCAACUGGUGCUCCCACAGCAAUGGGUAGAUGGAGGCUAUGCAGGAGCUGGUACUCUCUAUGGGAAAGGUCAAGACAGCUGGCAGUGCUGGUAGAUGAGGCAGCAUCCAGUAGAAAAUGGGCAAAUGAUAUUAAUAGUAUUUCAGAGAAGAAAACAAAUGGCCUGUGAAUGUAUUUUAAAAUGACCAAACAAUAUCUGAAAUCAAUUAAUAUAAUACACCUCAGCAAUUCCACUCCUAAGUGUAUAGCCAGAAGGAAUAAAAAUAUAUAUCCACACAAAAAUAUGUACAUGAACGUUCAUGGCAACAUUAUUCAUUAUAGCUAAAAGUAGAAACAAUCUAUGUGUUGUAUUUCUUUAUAACAUUCAAAUGAUGAAUGGAUAAAUAAAAUGAGGCAUAUCCGUACAAUGGAAGAUUAUUCAGCAGUAAAGAAGAAGGAAGUACUGGUAUGCACUAAAACAUGAAUAAACCUUAAAAACUUUAUGGUAAGUUGAAGGAGCCAGUCACAAACAACCACAUAUUGUAUGAUUCCAGCUAUAGGAAAUGUCCACAGUAAGUAAUCUAUAGAGACAUAAAGUCAUCAGGGCAGAGGAACUUGAGGGGGACUGAGAAAUAACUGCUAAUGGGUACAGGGUUGCUCUUGGGGGUGAUGAAAAUAUUCUAAAAUUGUUUGUGAUGGUUGCACAGCCUGCAUAAACUAAAAGCCAUUGAACUGUAUACUUUAAAUGAGUGAAUUGUAAGGUAGACGAAUUAUAUCUUAAUGAAGUUAUAAAAAAUAAAAAAUAAAAAGUGCUCAACCUCGGCUGGGCGCGGUGGCUCAUGCGUGUAAUCCCAGCACUUUGGGAGGCCGAGGUGGGCGGAUCACCUGAGGUCGGGAGUUCAAGACCAGCCUGACCAACAUGGAGAAACCCUGUCUCUACUAAAAUACAAAAUUAGCCGGGUGUGGUGGCACAUGCCUGUAAUUGCAGCUACUAGGGAGGCUGAGGCAGGAGAAUCGCUUCCUCACCCUCCCAAGCAGCUGGGAUUACAGGUGCGCGUUACCACACCUGGGCAAUUUUUGUAUUUUUAGUAGAGAUGAGUUAUCGCCAUGUUGGCCAGGCUGGUCUUGAACUCCUGACCUCAGGUGUUCUACCUGCCUCGGCCUCCCAAAGUGCUGGGAUUACAGGCGUGAGCCACCACGCCUGGCCUGACCACUUUUCAAUGUCUGUAGAGAAAUACUGUUAGGGUCCCCUGAAAGCCAAUCUAAGUCUGUAUUUCCAGCCUUCACUCAGUUCUUCUUUGUAAAUAUCCUGCAGGCACCUCAAAAUCCACAUGGACAAAGGUUAAUUCAACUUUCCCACAUCCUAUUACAUGUUCUACUUUCCCUAUUCCAGUUAAAAUCCAAGCUAGGAAGUUCAAAGCCACCUUCCACUUUCUCACCUCCAAACACUUUUGCCAUGUAGCUUAUGUGAGUUGUCUCGAUUUAGCUUGUUUUUUUCUCAUUUAUCAGGUAAGCACCUUUCUUAAAUUUGUGGUGAAGGUCAAAUGAGAAAGCAUGUUGGAGAAUGUUCCAAACAGUGCCUUGACAGGAGCAAACGCUCAGGAAACAGUGGUGGUUUCAUGAUGAUCCCUUGCCAGAAGACUGCAUGGACUCCUAAUCCAUCUUCCUGGGGGCAGUACCUCCCCAUUUUUUCCCCUUGGUUAUUCUCUUCUCUCUUCAGGGCCCCAGUUGUGCACAGUAUAUAAUCAUUUGUCUGCAGAACUUUUCCUGUCCUUGCCUCAUCAUUGUGUGUUGAGUGUGUUGGGGGCAGAUAACUUGUCUUUUUAGUUCACUGGUUUCCAGAUGGAGAGAAGGCACAUCUGAGCACACACAGAAACAUGGGGAACCGCAUCCCACUACACUAGCAGCUGACUGAGAUGACUAGACCCUGGACUUUGAGCAGAUGCCAUAAUAGGAUGUGCCCGUGGAGGCGGUUGAUGAUUAGUGCAGUUUACAUGUGAGAGGAAUGCGAAUUAUUUUAGGUAGGAGGUGGAGUGUACUAGAUGGUUUCCAAAUAUGGCUGCAUCAGUAUCUCCAAUCCCACAACUCUUUGCAAGGUGAUUUUGCCACUUGUCUCCUUAAAAGGUGGAGUCUAAUUCAUCUCCCCUAGAAUUUGGGCUGGCUUUGUUACUUGCUUUGACCAAUAAAAUACGGCAGGUCUUAUGGCUUCUGCUUAAA